rfam:Oryza meridionalis cultivar OR44 (W2112) chromosome 4, whole genome shotgun sequence.
UUUAAGUGCAAGUAUAAUUUUCUGCGCCUAACUUUAAUCGUCCGUCUUAUUUAAAAAAAAUUAUCUUAUUUAAAAAAAAUUAUAAUUAGUAUUCUUAUGAGAUGAUCAAAUAUAAAUAAUACUUUACUUGUGAUUUAUGUUUUUAAUUUUUUUUUAAAUAAUUUUAAAUAAAACAGACGGUUAAAAUUGGAUGUGAAAAACCAUAAAUGCAGUGAAA